ACGCACGCUGGCGGCGUGCUUCACACCUGCAAGUCGAACGGAAAGGCCCUGCUUUUGUGGGGUGCUCGAGUGGCGAACGGGUGAGUAACACGUGAGUAACCUGCCCUUGACUUUGGGAUAACUUCAGGAAACUGGGGCUAAUACCGGAUAGGAGCUCCUGCUGCAUGGUGGGGGUUGGAAAGUUUCGGCGGUUGGGGAUGGACUCGCGGCUUAUCAGCUUGUUGGUGGGGUAGUGGCUUACCAAGGCUUUGACGGGUAGCCGGCCUGAGAGGGUGACCGGCCACAUUGGGACUGAGAUACGGCCCAGACUCCUACGGGAGGCAGCAGUGGGGAAUAUUGCACAAUGGGCGGAAGCCUGAUGCAGCAACGCCGCGUGCGGGAUGACGGCCUUCGGGUUGUAAACCGCUUUCGCCUGUGACGAAGCGUGAGUGACGGUAAUGGGUAAAGAAGCACCGGCUAACUACGUG
rnacentral:rRNA from 1 species